rnacentral:lncRNA from 1 species
CUAAAACAUUGAAUUCCAUCACCAAAAAAUGAAAUGAAACUUCAAAACUAUAUAGAAGACUCCAAAUUUAGUUAACCAGUGGAGUUUCUUUUGUGAAUAAGACGCUGAAGAAGCAGUUGAAGAAUAUUCAGAAUAUGGUCCUGACCAGAAGAGAAGUAGUAAGAACUAACAGAGGCAGCUCCAGCCUCAUUAAAACUGACUCCUGUUGCCUUGGUUGAGUGUGGCUUCAAUGGGAAAGCAACAUCUGAGUGCACUAGUUGACCCGAAACCUACUCUUUAACUCCA